UUGUGGGUACACGUAUCCCUUCUUGCUUUCAUUUUGCCAUUUUGUUCCGUCGCUGUCCCUCCGUUUCCACUUCGCUUAUUCACAAAAAAAUUGGUUCAAUUUCUGUCAGAAAGAAGCACAGCUUUCUUCCUUGUGCUUCAUCGGAUUCUUCUCCCGCUUGUUAAAGAAGAAAAACUUACAUUGGCUUCAAUUUUCUUGCUUACCAAACCAGCAAGAGGUGUCAUUAUGUCUUGGAACGUGCCUAAUUCCGCAUCCCAACAAGGUAAGUAGUAAUGCAUAUUGUCCUCUGACUUGUUCUCUUUCUCGAUUGUUUUCAUUGAACUUUAUAGUAUCCUGGCAGUGUUUUGUGUUUUCCGAUGUAGUGGUGCUUGUUGUGCAAAUAGCACCCCAAUGGAAAAUUGGGUAGGGCACGACCCUCCAAUUCUCAAUCUCCACCUCCACUGACAGCACAAUCGUGGUCAAGUGGUAGUAGAAUUGCAUCUGCCCCUCCUUUGCCAUCCGAUUAUUUUCAGGGACCACCAUCUCCACCAUCAUCAUCCCCGCAAAUGCUUAACACCUAUUACAGUGCCUUAAGUGUCGAGAAUACAAAUGGCUGCAUAAUCCAAUGAUUGCUGUCAUAUGUGUGCGUGUGUGUGUGUUUGCUUCAUGUCAAUGUGUAAUUAAGGUACAAUUGUUACAAAAA